GCACGAAAGGCGUAACGAUUUGGAUACUGUCUCGGAGAGAGGCUCGGCGAAAUAGACUUGUCUGUGAAGAUGCGGACUACCUGCACCUGGACAGAAAGACCCUAUGAAGCUUUACUGUAACUUGGAAUUGACUUUAAACUUUAUUUGCGUAGGAUAGGUGGGAGGCUGAGAAGAAAAUCUUCUGGGGUUUUUGGAGCCGUCCUUGAAAUACCACCCUAAUAAUGUGAGAAUUCUAACUUUUCACUGUAAACCAGUUGAAGGACAUUUCCAGGCGGUCAGUUUGACUGGGGCGGUCGCCU
rnacentral:rRNA from 1 species